AUUGAACGCUGGCGGAAUGCUUUACACAUGCAAGUCGAACGGCAGCACGGGGGCAACCCUGGUGGCGAGUGGCGAACGGGUGAGUAAUACAUCGGAACGUGCCCAGUCGUGGGGGAUAACGUAGCGAAAGUUACGCUAAUACCGCAUACGAUCUACGGAUGAAAGCGGGGGACCGUAAGGCCUCGCGCGAUUGGAGCGGCCGAUGUCCGAUUAGGUAGUUGGUGGGGUAAAGGCUCACCAAGCCGACGAUCUGUAGCUGGUCUGAGAGGACGACCAUCCACACUGGGACUGAGACACGGCCCAGACUACUACGGGGGGCAGCAGUGGGGAAUUUUGGACAAUGGGCGCAAGCCUGAUCCAGCCAUUCCGCGUGCAGGACGAAGGCCUUCGGGUUGUAGACUGCUUUUGUACGGAACGAAAAGGCUCUGGUUAAUACCUGGGGCUCAUGACGGUACCGUAAGAAUAAGCACCGGCUAACUACGUGCCAGCAGCCGCAGUAA
rnacentral:rRNA from 1 species